GCAUCCAAGCUGAUUAUCAUAGAUUACAAGUUCAACUAUCAACUGUGUUCUGAGAGUCUAAAAAAAUAAAUGAAUGUAUUUGUUUGGGUAUUCUUAAAGCAGGAGUGAGGACACAGCGAAAGUGAGACAAGGAAGAGAGAACAAAAUAAAACAGGAAAGAUGGAAAAGCCAAUACCACACGUGUUAAGAGUAUCAAGCUCCCAUGCUGCUAGAGAGAGUCCUCGGCUAGAAACAGGUGCAAAUUCUGGAGAUGAGACCUUGUAGAGUGUUAAGAAUGGUUUUCUUCACAGCAGCUACAGUUUCAAGGAAAAUGCGUUGGGAGUUCCUGGCAUAAAGAAUGUCACAAAGACAUGUUUUCAAUAGUGGUGCUAUCCCUAGGGCAGAGAAGACCCAGAGAAAGCACAAGUGGCUGCUGGAACAAAGUCAGACACCGUGCCACCUGUCCACACUCCUUGGCUCUGCCAUCGUGCUGAAGAUCGGUUUAAAGGACUGGCUUCCCUCCCCCCGAAAUUAAAAGAGCACAAACUGAGAAACUGAAUGUAGGAGACAGCAGUGGAUUAUGCUGUUCCCAGGGGUCACCUCAGGUUUGGAAGCAUUCUUUCAAAUUAACCCAUCUCAGGCCAUCUGCAGAGAAGAAAGGUGGUACCUAACUUUUUUUCUUGUCAGCAUUUAGUAGCUGUGUUUUAUUGAACAAGUAAGUUCCCACAACCUAGUUUUUUGUAACUAAAUGUAGUAGAUUUUUAAAUUUUAUCAUCAAAAUCUAUGGACAAUUUUUGAUUAAAAUAGACUCCAUGUCUAUGUCCUGCUUUUCCUCUUAUUAUUAAUUACAUUGUUGUAUAAAAGAACAAGACAUCAGAAUCAAGAAUAUCUUGUCUCUUGGCUUUGAAUUUAUACAAGGUGCUCUUUCUUUAAUGCUGUCUCAAAGGACAUAUUUUUACUCAUUAAAGGGAAGAUCAGAAUCUAGUUGUAUGCACUGCUCCAACAUAUUAAUAAUUAAAAUUAGUAGGUAAAUGUGGUCAAAGCUAUAGAAAGACUUGAGAUGUCAUUUAUAUUGAUUACUGUAUAGCACUCGACAAACAGAAAUGGUUAAAUAAUAGUUUAUAUAAAUAUUUUGUAGCAUUUCAAGUAUUU
rnacentral:lncRNA from 1 species